rnacentral:misc_RNA from 1 species
UCCGAGUUAUCCCCGGCAGUCUCCCAUGAGUCCCCACCAUUACGUGCUGGCAACAUAGGACAAGGGUUGCGCUCGUUGCGGGACUUAACCCAACAUCUCACGACACGAGCUGACGACAGCCAUGCACCACCUGUCACGGGCCCUUACGGACACUGUGUUUCCACAGUUUUUCCCGUGAUGUCAAACCCAGGUAAGGUUCUUCGGGUUGCAUCGAAUUAAGCCGCAUGCUCCGCCGCUUGUGCGGGGACCCGUCAAUUCCUUUGAGUUUUAGCCUUGCGGCCGUACUCCCCAGGCGGGAUACUUAAUGCGUUAGCUUCGGCACGGCAGUCGUUGGUACAACCGCCACACCUAGUAUCCAACGUUUACAGCGUGGACUAC